rnacentral:rRNA from 1 species
UACGAAGGGGGCUAGCGUUGCUCGGAAUCACUGGGCGUAAAGCGCACGUAGGCGGAUCGCUAAGUCAGGGGUGAAAUCCUGGAGCUCAACUCCAGAACUGCCUUUGAUACUGGCAAUCUCGAGUCCGGGAGAGGUGAGUGGAACUGCGAGUGUAGAGGUGAAAUUCGUAGAUAUUCGCAAGAACACCAGUGGCGAAGGCGGCUCACUGGCCCGUAACUGACGCUGAGGCGCGAAAGCGUGGGGAGCAAACAGG